rnacentral:rRNA from 1 species
CCAGCUCCAAUAGCGUAUAUUAAAGUUGUUGCAGUUAAAAAGCUCGUAGUUGUAUUUCGGGGGUUUUUUGCCGUCCUGUCCGCCGCAAGGCGCGCACUGGGACUGGCGGCCUCUUUUUACUUCCAAUGGCCUCCGCCUGGUUACACCGGGUGGGAUUCAGGAAAUUGGAUAUUUUACUUUGAAUAAAUAAGAGUGUUCAAAGCAGGCGUCUCGCUUGAAUUCAUCAGCAUGGAAUAAUGGAAUAGGACUUUGGUCUUAUUUUGUUGGUUUCUAGGACCGAAUUAAUGAUUAAUAGGGACAGUUGGGGUCGUUUAUAUUAAAUUGUCAGAGGUGAAAUUCUUGGAUUUAUUUAAGAUAAACUACUGCGAAAGCAUUCGGCAAGGAUGUUUUCA